rnacentral:rRNA from 1 species
AUGGGGCGGAGCCGAUCAUCCCAACGCCGAGAAAUCGUGUCAAACGGCAGACACGCUCGUUUGCCACAACCUCGUCCGCGAUUAAUAAACAAGCUUGAGGAUUCAGAUGGAGCAUUGUUAUGCCUAAUAGCAGGAACCUGCACACUGGCCAGCAGCGUCGGCAAUUUCCAAUUGUUUUCAUUAAGUGAGCAUGGUCUUACCAACAAAGAAUACUAUGAGUUGGUAACUGGCACAAUGGAGGUUGCUAUUUGCUACCCUUAUAUAUUUCUGAAAUUGCAUGAGUUCGUGCCCAAUCUCCUUCCGACGACGGCUGCACUGGCGCCAUUGAAGUCGUGGCUCGCGUGCCGUCCUAACGUCCGGAUUUUCAGAGACACAGCCGUUCUUGUGAUUAUAUCUUAUCUGCUAUUACUGGGCAUCAACUUGAGCUUCGCUUGGCUCGCCAUCUUUCCAGUCAUGGCCAUUGUUUUCAUACGAGCGUUGUACUUGAAACUUAAUCGCCGUAGAGUAACACCAAGAUCUUCUAACGUCGAUGAGAAGUUCGUCAAGACACCUGUGGAGCUUCAGAUUAUGGUGGUGGCGACAUUCGGGGCGCUCUUGGUGAUGGAUCAACUCGACGACGAUGCAGCUGUGGGGUUCUCCAUCUCCCAAUUCCUCCUGUUCCUGAGCUCCAUGGUGGCGGCACUGACGCGAAUGAUGAUGAAGCUGCCCGCUGACCCUUUCCCGGGCAGCGCACCUGCGUCAGAGUUGCUCCACAAGACCUUGCUUAUCCUCCUGCUGGUGACGGUGCACACGGUGGCCGUGGAGUGGCUGGGCGAGGACGUGGUUCUGUUCUGCAUGCCGGAGGUCGCCCCGGUGCUUCUCUGGUUCAUCCUUCACCUUGACCGCCCACGCCACAGCCCGCUCAUCAGCGUCGACAAGAUGAAGCCAUACAUGAAAGAGAUCAUCGCCCUGUGUGCACUGGUGGCAGCUCCUCUUUUCGCAUACCUGGUGAACUCCAUGGAUGUUUCUGGGCUCUCCUGGUGCACGAGGAUAAUGGUGUCAUGUGGCGUCUCAGGGGUUCUGACCUACUACCUGGUGUUCAUGCUACACCACUGGACAUGGCCGGGGCGAAAACAAGCUGGCAGAAGCAAGGAUGAUGUGCCUUCCUCCGGCAUGCUCAAGUUUUGGGCAGAGGCUUUACUCGUGGCGGCUGCAUUGCUGCUGGUGCUAAGGUAUCUGGUUUCUGUCCGGCUUGGUCUACAACAAUCACUGGUUGGUACACUCUGUCGAAAUGUGCAGCGACUAUGA